AUUGAACGCUGGCGGCAUGCUUUACACAUGCAAGUCGAACGGUAACAGGUUAAGCUGACGAGUGGCGAACGGGUGAGUAAUGCAUCGGAACGUGCCCGAUCGUGGGGGAUAACGCAGCGAAAGCUGCGCUAAUACCGCAUACGAUCUGAGGAUGAAAGCGGGGGAGUCGCAAGACCUCGCGCGAUUGGAGCGGCCGAUAUCAGAUUAGGUAGUUGGUAGGGUAAAGGCCUACCAAGCCAACGAUCUGUAGCUGGUCUGAGAGGACGACCAGCCACACUGGAACUGAGACACGGUCCAGACUCCUACGGGAGGCAGCAGUGGGGAAUUUUGGACAAUGGGCGAAAGCCUGAUCCAGCCAUUCCGCGUGCAGGAUGAAGGCCCUCGGGUUGUAAACUGCUUUUGUACAGAACGAAAAGGUUUCUAUUAAUACUAGGAGCUCAUGACGGUACUGUAAGAAUAAGCACCGGCUAACUACGUGCCAGCAGCC
rnacentral:rRNA from 1 species